rnacentral:other from 1 species
GUCCUUCUGCGUGGUUCGAUACGGCUCAGGAAAAAGAAACUCUGACGAACACUGAAAAAGGGAGCGAAACUCGGAUGUGGUGUGCAGACCCAGCAAUCCUCACUGGGGAGCCUAAAGCAUCCGAUAUGAGCACCCACCUGAGAGAAUGAGGGUUUCUUCCUUGACCACCGGCCAAGGCGGUUGGACA